AAAGGACUUCUUGCCCAUUUUGCCCAAUGAAGUGUGGAAGCCUCAAGGGCGUGAAACAUCAUUUGAUGUCAUCGCAUGCCUUAUUUGAUUUUAACUUUCGGCUGUCGGAGAAUGGUCAUCCGAAUUUUGAUGUCUCCGUGAAACCUGAUGCAUUCACAAAUGGGGUACUAACUUAUGAUUUAGAGGAGCACAAUCGUGUUAAUACCUACCUUUAUCG